CCCGGGUUGCCCGGUCGACCGGCGCUAUUUUGUACUGGGCUGCCAAAGUGUGUUCGCCGGCGACCAGUAGACAUGGCAAGCGCCAGCUCUAGGGCUCCAAAGUGCGGAAAUGUGCCCGUUCACACGGAUCCAAAGUAGAAGAAGUCAUCUGGGCAUCAUUGCGUCGUGUUUGGAUGCCAAAACAACCAGCGGAAAAGGAGCAGGUUGCUUAGCGCUGUUUGCGAAGAGCACAAGACACGUAGGGAAUCGUGCCGGUGCGGUGUUUUCAGCCUGCGCCGAUUUCCAUCCGCAACGAAGAAUGCCAAGCUGCGCCACCGGUGGAUAGCUGCAGUGAAUAGGAAGAACUACCAACCCAGUGAAAAUGCACGAUGUGCAGGUGGUGAAGGGCAGGCGUCUGCUAACCAGGCAGUCAAACGACCUCGCCAGUUGGUUGCCAAGCGCGGCCAACCCAGUAGAGACCAUUACAAACAAGACCAAACUGAAAGUGCA